AAUGAACGUUGGCGGCGUGGAUUAGGCAUGCAAGUCGUGGGAGAACCCGCAGGGGGGAAACCGGCGAACGGGGUAGGACAACAUCGGUAACGUACCCUCAGGACGGGGAUAGCGGCGGGAAACUGCCGGUAAUACCCGAUGAGUCUGGCCGAACUGGGAGGUCGGUCAGCAAAGGUGAUAUUCCGCCUGGGGAGCGGCUGAUGCGCUAUUAGCUAGUUGGCGGGGUGACGGCCCACCAAAGCGACGAUGGCUAGGGGGUGUGAGAGCAUGGCCCCCACCACUGGCACUGAGACACUGGCCAGACACCUACGGGUGGCUGCAGUCGAGAAUCUUCGGCAAUGGGCGCAAGCCUGACCGAGCGACGCCGCGUGCGGGAUGAAGGUCUUCGGAUUGUAAACCGCUGUCGGAGGGGAUGAGAUGCGUCGGGGUGCUCCCCGGCGUUUGACAGA
rnacentral:rRNA from 1 species